CAGCAGCGAUUAAUGCACUGUUCUCGUGACCACUUGUUUCUCUCUCUCUCUCUCUCUCCCCCAAAAAAGCCCCAAUCCCUCCUCCAUCAGGCCCCAAAAUCGGAGCUCCCCCAUGUCCGAUUUCUCCGACGAGCUCCAACUGCAACUCCAAUCGGCCAUCAACCAGAUCCGCCUCUUCACCAACUCCGACGAGCUCGAUCUCGAGAUCCCCCAACUCAGGAAAUCAACGAAAUAAAUGCCUUUUGGUUGACUCGCGACUCAAACCUCUAGCCUAUGAUGAAUUCUUGAACCUCGAUGCCUAAUUUUCAGUCUCUGUGGUCGCAAGUAUCGAAGCUUUUGUGAGAAAUGAAAAACUUGAACACUGAAGUAGGGGCUAGCUGUCAAAAUGAAGCUAAUGCAGUAAACUUGGAUGACAAUAUUUCUUUGAUGCAUUAUAGGUAAUCUUCUUUGUUGCAGUUGAUAUCUUUUUUGCUUUUUGUUUGCUUACAUUUUCUGUAUCAAUCUUUAAUUUCCUCAAUUCUUACAGAUGUGGCUUAUAGGUUGUUGCAACAUGGUUUGUGAUCUCUCUAGCUUGUUGCUUGAGAGCUUCAAUCCUCUUCUCAGCCGUAGGGGCUAGCAUCCACUGUAUCUCAGCAAUAUUGCAUUGUUGCUUCAAUACCAACCUCUUCAUAAGUAGUCUAAUAAUGAUCUCCAUGGGUGUGAGUAGUGGGUUGUCUCUAUGCAGCAAAAAUCAUCAGUCUCACACAUGUUAGUCAACAAUCAAUCUGAUUUGAUUCGAUAUCUGAAUGCAUUCCACUGAGCUAGAUUUUCAGGCAUGAGGUAGCUAUAUGCUCCCUCAUGCAUAUUUUUCAUGACCAUCAUUGCCUCAUCAAACUCCAAUAUUGUUACUACCCUACAUGCUUUCCACGUAUCAUCCUCGAAUGCUUUUCUUAUCAUAUCUUUGCUUGAAAUUGGCAUAUUUAUGCCUACAAGAGAAUCUAACCUCUCCUGUUGGUACAACAAUGCUUAGAGCCUCAAUUAAUCCCUACAAAACUAGAUAAACAAAUCAUUAGAACAAUAGGGUUAAAAAAUAGAUGAAUGAAACAUGCACUAAAAUGAUAAAAAUUUAAAAUUAUAUCGCCUUUUGUCUACCAGAUAUGAAAUCAACACCAACUUUCCUUGUUAUCCAAUAUACUAUGAGAAAUAUAUUGAAAAAAAUGGUGGUGUGAUGGACUGUUUUUGUUGCUUCAAGCAAAACAUUGAGGCAAAUAAACAGAGAUUAGCAAAUAAUGCAAGAGAAAUAAGAAAAGGGAAGACUCUAGCCAACCUUGUGGAUAACUUCUCUCUUGAAUAAGGUACGUUCAACAAUUUUCUUUCCUUGCAAUUUUAGAACUUUUUGUUAUUCUGAAUUAUUAUGAAAUGAUAAGAAUUGGGUCACUAAUAUUCAAUAACAGUUCCAUUUUCUUGAGAUGAUUUUUCCUUAUGCCUGAUUUAUCAUAUAUAAUAUGAAAUAUUGUCAGAUUUUACCACAAUGUAAUGUAAUCUAUAAACUUUAUUAUUCAACAUCUGUACAAUGCAUAAUGUAUAAGUGUAAGUAAAUUAGGGGUCUUCAUUGUUCUGCAUUUUUAAAGAAUUUUCAAUCAAUAAUACAUACAUUAUGAAGAAAUAAAGUUACAGAAAUUUCCAAGUGCAAGGAAUUUAUUGAUUUUUUUAAGAACCACCUUAGUCUACCUCUCUUUUUCUAUUUGUUCAUCUUUGAUUAAUUGGUGUGCAGAGAUGAAUUUGGAUUGAUUGGCAACAAUAAUGCAAAGGUCGCCAAGAGCUCUUCUGCAUAGAAGAGCAAUUGCAUCGGCUACAUUAGAGUAGAAAUGGAGCUUGGCUAGCAAACGUCUCCUUAUUUUUGCAUUUUAUUUAUAAUUCUAGAAGUUUUAUGGUUGUGUUGAGCCUGAAUUUUGAGAGUAACUUAUGUGAUUUUAUGAACCUUGAAUUUUGGGAGUAGAUUAUGUACAUAAUUUGGAUUCCGUUGGGUUUUUGUAUGGGCAAAAGAAAAGAAACAUGCUCUUGUGACGUUAGCAACUAGUAUGCUGAACUCCUAAUGCUCUUAUGUUCCCAUUUUUCUAAUUUUUUUAAUUGUGUA